rnacentral:snRNA from 1 species
GGAUGUGAGCGUGAUCUGGCUGUGACAUCUGUCACCCCAUUGAUCGCCAGGGUUGAUUUGGCUGAUGUGGCUGACUAGGCAGGCGUCUCCUUCCUCCCUCGCCACUCCACGUGCAUUCCUUUCGAAGCUGUGCGCUAGGUCGAAGAAGAUGACCAUCCCCAUAGAGGAGGACAGUUUCAAGGGUAUACAAGUAGCUGGGCUCCCCUGCUAAAACCUCCACAUAAGCUCUCAAGAUGGCUCUCCCCUCAUUUGACAAGAAAUCUUACCAGGUCUGGUUUUAAUCAGAAAUUUUAACUGUGAACCUUGGGCUUCGGGUGCCAGGGU